rnacentral:tRNA from 1 species
UCCGAUAUGGUCUAGUGGCUAGGAUUUGCCGCUCUCAUCGAGAGUCAGUUCACUGCAUAGUGCCGGCAAGGCCCGGGUUCGAUUCCCGGUGUCGGAA